rnacentral:rRNA from 1 species
GGGACGGGACCGCGUCCCAUUAGCUAGUUGGUGAGGUAAUGGCCCACCAAGGCUCCGAUGGGUAGCUGGUUUGAGAGAGCGACCAGCCACACUGGGACUGAGAUACGGCCCAGACUCCUACGGGAGGCAGCAGUGAGGAAUUUUCCGCAAUGGGCGAAAGCCUGACGGAGCGACGCCGCGUGUGGGAAGAAGGCCUUCGGGUCGUAAACCACUGUCGAAGGGGAAGAUAUUGACGGUACCCUUGGAGGAAGCCCCGGCUAACUACGUGCCAGCAGCCGC